AUUGAACGCUGGCGGCAGGCCUAACACAUGCAAGUCGAGCGGAGCGGCGGACGGGUGAGUAAUGCCUAGGAAUCUGCCUGGUAGUGGGGGAUAACGUCCGGAAACGGGCCUUAUUACCGCUUCCUAUCCAAUGGGCCUGGGUCGGAUUAGCAAGUUGGUGGGGUAAAGGCCUACCAAGGCGACGAUCCGUAACUGGUCUGAGAGGAUGAUCAGUCACACUGGAACUGAGAACCGGUCCAGACUCCUACGGGAGGCAGCAGUGGGGAAUAUUGGACAAUGGGCGAAAGCCUGAUCCAGCCAUGCCGCGUGUGUGAAGAAGGUCUUCGGAUUGUAAAGCACUUUAAGUUGGGAGGCGUUACCAACAGAAUAAGCACCGGCUAACUUCGUGCCAGCAUCCGCGGUAAUUC
rnacentral:rRNA from 1 species